GGGCCCGCACAAGCAGCGGAGCGUGUGGUUUAAUUCGAUGAUACACGAAGAACCUUACCAGGGUUUGACAUACAGGUGGUAGAGAAGCGAAAGUGGAACGACCCUUCGGGGAGCCUGAACAGGUGCUGCAUGGCUGUCGUCAGCUCGUGUCGUGAGAUGUUCGGUUAAGUCCGCUAACGAGCGCAACCCUUGUUGUGUGUUACACGUAUCACACGAGACCGCCGGUAGAAAGCCGGAGGAAGGUAGGGAUGACGUCAAGUCAGCAUGGCCUAUAUAUCCUGGGCUACACACACGCUACAAUGAUCGAUACAAUGGGUAGCCAAGCCGCGAGGCGGAGCCAAUCCUAAAAAGUCGGUCUCAGUUCAGAUUGCAGGCUGCAACUCGCCUGCAUGAAGAUGGAGUUGCUAGUAACCGCAGGUCAGCGAUACUGCGGUGAAUACGUUCCCGGGCCUU
rnacentral:rRNA from 1 species